rnacentral:rRNA from 1 species
GAUGAACGCUAGCGGCAGGCCUAACACAUGCAAGUCGAGGGGCAUCACGAAGGAUUUUACAGGAGGAAGAAUUUGGUGGCGACCGGCGGACGGGUGCGUAACGCGUAUGCAACCUACCGGUAACAGGGGGAUAACAUUGAGAAAUUGGUACUAAUACCCCAUAAUAUUUGAUAAGGCAUCUUAUUAAGUUGAAAGAAUUUUGGUUAUCGAUGGGCAUGCGUUGUAUUAGAUAGUUGGUAAGGUAACGGCUUACCAAGUCUACGAUACAUAGGGGGACUGAGAGGUUAACCCCCCACACUGGAACUGAGACACGGUCCAGACUCCUACGGGAGGCAGCAGUGAGGAAUAUUGGUCAAUGGACGGAAGUCUGAACCAGCCAUGCCGCGUGCAGGAAGAAUGCUCUAUGAGUUGUAAACUGCUUUUGUAUAAGAGUAAACACAGGUACGUGUACCUGUCUGCAAGUAUUAUACGAAUAAGGAUCGGCUAACUCCGUGCCAGCAGCCGCGGUAAUACGGAGGAUUCGAGCGUUAUCCGGAUUUAUUGGGUUUAAAGGGUGCGUAGGCGGUUAAAUAAGUUAGGAGUUAAAUACUGGGGCUUAACCUCAGUCUGCUUUUAAUACUGUUUGACUAGAGAUUAGUUGCCGUAGGCGGAAUGUAUGGUGUAGCGGUGAAAUGCAUAGAGAUCAUACAGAACCCCGAUUGCGAAGGCAGCUUACGAAGCUAUAUCUGACGUUGAUGCACGAAAGCGUGGGUAGCGAACAGGAUUAGAUACCCUGGUAGUCCACGCAGUAAACGAUGAUAACUUGAUGUCGGCGAUAUUACAGUCGGUGUCUAAGCGAAAGCGAUAAGUUAUCCACCUGGGGAGUACGUUCGCAAGAAUGAAACUCAAAGGAAUUGACGGGGGCCCGCACAAGCGGAGGAACAUGUGGUUUAAUUCGAUGAUACGCGAGGAACCUUACCCGGGCUUGAAAGUUAAUGACGGAUCAAGAAAUUGGUCUUCCCUUCGGGGCAUGAAACUAGGUGCUGCAUGGUUGUCGUCAGCUCGUGCCGUGAGGUGUCGGGUUAAGUCCCAUAACGAGCGCAACCCCUACCGUUAGUUGCCAUCAGGUUAAGCUGGGCACUCUGGCGGGACUGCCGGUGUAAGCCGAGAGGAAGGUGGGGAUGACGUCAAAUCAGCACGGCCCUUACGUCCGGGGCUACACACGUGUUACAAUGGUAAGCACAGAGAGUUGCUACCCAGCGAUGGGAUGCUAAUCUUGAAAUCUUAUCUCAGUUCGGAUUGGAGGCUGAAACUCGCCUCCAUGAAGUUGGAUUCGCUAGUAAUCGCGCAUCAGCCAUGGCGCGGUGAAUACGUUCCCGGGCCUUGUACACACCGCCCGUCAAGCCAUGGAAGCUGAGGGUGCUUGAAGUUCGUUACCGCGAGGGACGACCUAGGGCAAACUUGGUAACUGGGGC